rnacentral:rRNA from 1 species
UACGUAGGGUGCAAGCGUUGUCCGGAAUUAUUGGGCGUAAAGAGCUCGUAGGCGGUGUGUCGCGUCGGCCGUGAAAACCUGCAGCUUAACUGUGGGCUUGCGGUCGAUACGGGCAUCACUGGAGUUCGGCAGGGAGACUGGAAUUCCUGGUGUAGCGGUGAAAUGCGCAGAUAUCAGGAGGAACACCAAUGCGAAGGCAGCUCGCUGGGACGUUGACUGACGCUGAGACGCGAAAGCGUGGGAGCAAACAGG